rnacentral:rRNA from 1 species
UACGUAGGGGGCAAGCGUUGUCCGGAUUUAUUGGGCGUAAAGCGCUCGCAGGUGGUCCGAUGCGUCGUGCGUGAAAGACCCCGGCUCAACUGGGGAGUGUCGUGCGAUACGGUCGGACUGGAGGCCAGUAGGGGGAGUGCGGAAUUCCGGGUGUAGUGGUGGAAUGCGUAGAGAUCCGGAGGAACACCAGCGGCGAAGGCGGCAUCCUGGACUGGUCCUGACACUCGAUGAGCUGAA